GGACACGAGGAACCCUGUCGGAAUCCGGGAGGACCAUCUCCCAAGGCUAAAUACUACUUGGUGACCGAUAGUGAACCAGUACCGUGAGGGAAAGGUGAAAAGAACCCCCGCGAGGGGAGUGAAAAGACUCUGAAACCGAAUGUCUACAAGCCGUUGGAGCACUAUGGCGCAAGCAACGUGCGACAGCGUGCCUUUUGCAUAAUGAGCCUGCGAGUUACAGUGUCCGGCAAGGUUAAGCCGUGAGGCGAAGCCGAAGCGAAAGCGAGUCUGAAUAGGGCGCUAAGUCGGAUGCCGUAGACCCGAAACCGGGUGAUCUAUCCUUGGCCAGGCUGAAGAGCGGGUAACACCGCUUGGAGGGCCGAACUCACCAUAGUUGAAAAUAUGGGGGAUGAGCUGAGGAUCGGAGUGAAAGGCUAAUCAAACUCGGUUAUAGCUGGUCUCGCCGAACAUAUUAGGUAUGGGGUCAGAGGAUUUUGCUACUGCAGGUAAAGCACUGAA
rnacentral:rRNA from 1 species